CGGCGGCCACCCACCGCGCGGCAGAUCUCAUGACGUUUCGCCGCCCGGUCCGGCCCCGCGGAGCGAGUGGCCGCCGUAGCCGCAGCGGUGAGUGCUCUGCCGGGGCCGGGAGGUCUCCCCCGAGCCCGCCCUCUGCCGUACGGCCGGCGGCCAGGCGAUGGCGGGCCGGGAACCUUUGCGCGGGAAGUUCCCCUGCCUGGGUCCGGUUUCUGCGGAGCCGUCGGCGCCGAGGGGCUUCCAGCAGCCCGGCUCCCGCAGCAGGCCGCCCGUUUUCCUGGACACUCGUGCCUGUGUCGCCCCCGCCCCCAAGCGGAGCCGUCCGAGACUGCCUGGAGACCCCGCAGAGAAAACUUCUUCCCGAUGAGGGGGGGGGGGGGUCGGUGGCCCCCGGCUCCCGGUGACUUGGAGCUUUCCUUGCGGCGACGGCACGCGCCCAAAUGAGGACUAGGGGUCUGCGCUGCUCGCAGAGUGACCGGAGAGGCACUCAGAGUGACUGAGGGCUGCCCCGCCAAAGAUGGGCCCUUCUGGACUCCAGGGGGACCGACCCUCCGAACUUGAAGGACCACAGACCUACAACCCUGAAGCCCUGGGGAAAGGACGCGAGGAGAUCUGGAGCCAGAAGGGCCACGCGCGGAGAGCAGCAACAGUGAAUGGCAAGAUCGAAACAGAGUUUCUGAAGAACUUAUAAUGGUUGUCAAAGAAAUGAAAAAAUACUUCCUAUCAGAGAGACACGGUAAGCCGAGUGCUGGUGACGCCCUUGACUGUGUGCGCAGCGUGCAAGGACACCUUUGUGGCAGUGUUUUCACUUCUGUCUGGAAGGUCAGUGCAGGUUUCUGAACAGGCCGCCUCGAUCCAGAAUUGUAAGAAGGAUUUCUUGGAGUCCUCGCAGGACGUGAGCGUAUUCUACGCCCGCACCGCCCACACUCCGCUUCCCUUCUGGAACAACUGGACCCAAAGAGGUAAUGGGACCGAUGCUCAGAUAUCUAUCUUGCCUUGUACAGAUCAGUUUCUUUCUUUGAGAAACAAUACCCAAAUUUACACGUUAUUUUGAACCUACAAACUUUGCGGUUUUUCUUAUUUCUUUAUUUAAAAAGUCCGAACGUGUGGCACCUGGCUGGUUCAGUGGAAGAACACAC